UGGUCAAGUUAUUAAGGGUGCAGGGCGGAUGCCUUGGCACUAGGAGCCGAUGAAGGACGUGAUAAGCUGCGAUAAGCUUCGGGGAGUUGCACGUAAACUUUGAUCCGAAGAUUUCCGAAUGAGGAAACUCACUUAGAGUAAUGUCUAAGUAUCAUUAAGUGAAUACAUAGCUUAAUGAGGGGAACUCAGGGAACUGAAACAUCUAAGUACCUGAAGGAAGAGAAAGAAAUUCGAUUCCGUAAGUAGCGGCGAGCGAACGCGGAUUAGCCCAAACCAAUAAAGUUUUCUUUAUUGGGGUUGCGGACAUAUCAUAACGAAGAGGUAUCGUAAUUGAAGAGGUUUGGAAAGACCCACCACAGAAGGUAAUAGUCCUGUAUGUUAAACGAGAAGACUUUAGAUAUGAUCCAGAGUACCACGGGACACGUGAAACCCUGUGGGAAGCAGGAGGGACCACCCUCCAAGGCUAAAUACUACCUAGUGACCGAUAGCGUAUAGUACCGUGAGGGAAAGGUGAAAAGAACCCCGGGAGGGGAGUGAAAUAGAACCUGAAACCCUGCACUUACAAGCUGUGGAAGCACAUUUCUUGUGUGACCGCGUACUUUUUGUAGAACGGGCCAACGAGUUACGUUAAGUAGCAAGGUUAAGCACUUAAGGUGCGGAGCCGUAGCGAAAGCGAGUUUUAACUGAGCGUUCAGUUACUUGACGUAGACCCGAAACCGGGCGACCUACCCAUGAGCAGGAUGAAGCGAAAGUAAAAUUUCGUGGAGGUCCGAACCCACGAGCGUUGAAAAGCUCGGGGAUGACUUGUGGGUAGCGGUGAAAUUCCAAUCGAGCCCGGAGAUAGCUGGUUCUCCCCGAAAUAGCUUUAGGGCUAGCCUCAAGGUGAGAGAUACGGAGGUAGAGCACUGAAUGUCCUAGGGGGUAUUGCACCUACCGAAGACUAUCAAACUCCGAAUGCCGUCAUCUUAUACUUGGGAGUCAGACUGUGGGUGAUAAGAUUCAUAGUCGAAAGGGCAACAGCCCAGAUCGUCAGCUAAGGUCCCUAAAUGUAAGUUAAGUGGUAAAGGAUGUGGGAUUGCACAGACAACCAGGAUGUUGGCUUAGAAGCAGCCACUCAUUCAAAGAGUGCGUAAUAGCUCACUGGUCGAGUGAUCCUGCGCCGAAGAUUUCCGGGGCUAAAACUUACUACCGAAGCUACGGCAUCAGUAAUGAUGGGUAGGGGAGCUUCCCAUACGGGUUGAAGCAUGACCGUAAGGACAUGUGGACAGUAUGGGAGUGAGAAUGUUGGCAUGAGUAGCGAGAUGUGGGUGAGAAUCCCACAGGCCGUAAACCCAAGGUUUCCAGGGGAAGGUUCGUCCGCCCUGGGUUAGUCGGGACCUAAGCUGAGGCCGAAAGGCGUAGGUGAUGGACAACAGGUUGAUAUUCCUGUACUACCGAUAACCGUUUGAGAGAAGGGAUGACACAGUAGGAUAAGCUAAGCACACUGUUGGUUAUGUGUGCCCAAGCAUUGAGGCAGUCAAAGUAGGCAAAUCCGCUUUGAUAAUGCUGGGAUGUGAUGGGGAGCGAAAUUUAGUAGCGAAGUAGCUGAUUUCACACUGUCAAGAAAAGUCUCUAUCGAGGUUAAAGGUACCCGUACCGCAAACCGACACAGGUGGGUGAGGAGAGUAUCCUAAGGCCAGCGAGAGAACUGUUGUUAAGGAACUCGGCAAAAUGACCCCGUAACUUAGGGAUAAGGGGUGCCACCAUCAGGUGGCCGCAGAGAAUAGGCCCAAGCGACUGUUUACCAAAAACAUAGGUUUCUGCUAAGUCGCAAGACGAUGUAUAGGAGCUGACGCCUGCCCGGUGCUGGAAGGUUAAGGGGAUCUGUUAGAGCAAUCGAAGCAGUGAACUUAAGCCCCAGUAAACGGCGGCCGUAACUAUAACGGUCCUAAGGUAGCGAAAUUCCUUGUCGGGUAAGUUCCGACCCGCACGAAAGGCGUAACGAUUUGGGCACUGUCUCAACAACAGACUCGGUGAAAUUGUAAUUCCGGUGAAGAUGCCGGAUACCUGCGACAGGACGGAAAGACCCCAUGGAGCUUUACUGUAGCUUGACAUUGGGUCUUGGUACUACAUGUACAGGAUAGGUGGGAGGCUUUGAAACCAGGACGCCAGUUUUGGCGGAGCCAUCCUUGGGAUACCACCCUUGUAGUACUGGGACUCUAACCAUAGGCCAUGAAUCUGGUCUUGGGACACUGUCAGGUGGGCAGUUUGACUGGGGCGGUCGCCUCCCAAAAGGUAACGGAGGCGCUCAAAGGUUCUCUCAGUACGGUCGGAAAUCGUACGUAGAGUGUAAAGGCAAAAGAGAGCUUGAUUGCAAGACAUACAGGUCGAGCAAGGAUGAAAAUCGGACUUAGUGAUCCGGUGGUUCUGCGUGGAAGGGCCAUCGCUCAACGGAUAAAAGCUACCCUGGGGAUAACAGGCUUAUCUCCCCCAAGAGUCCACAUCGACGGGGAGGUUUGGCACCUCGAUGUCGGCUCAUCACAUCCUGGGGCUGUAGUAGGUCCCAAGGGUUGGGCUGUUCGCCCAUUAAAGUGGUACGCGAGCUGGGUUCAGAACGUCGUGAGACAGUUCGGUCCCUAUCCGUCGCAGGCGUAGGAAAUUUGAGAAGACCUGUCCUUAGUACGAGAGGACCGGGAUGGACGUACCUCUGGUGUACCAGUUGU
rnacentral:rRNA from 1 species